CCUACGGGUGGCAGCAGUGGGGAAUAUUGCACAAUGGGGGAAACCCUGAUGCAGCGACGCCGCGUGAGUGAAGAUGUCUUUCGGUAUGUAAAGCUCUAUCAGCAGGGAAGAAAAUGACGGUACCUGAUUACUACUCCCCGGCUAACUACGUGCCAGCAGCCGCGGUACUACGUAGGGGGCAAGCGUUAUCCGGAUUUACUGGGUGUAACGGGAGCGUAGACGGCAGCGCAAGUCUGAAGUGAAAUGCCGGGGCUUAACCCCGGAACUGCUGUUGAAACUGUGAAGCUGGAGUGCAGGAGAGGUGAGUGGAAUUCCUGGUGUAGCGGUGAAAUGCGUAGAUAUUAGGAGGAACACCAGUGGCGAAGGCGGCUUACUGGACUGUAACUGACGUUGAGGCUCGAAAGCGUGGGGAGCAAACAGGAUUAGAUACCCCGGUAGUC
rnacentral:rRNA from 1 species